rnacentral:misc_RNA from 1 species
GAUGAAGAACGCAGCGAAAUGCGAUACGUAAUGUGAAUUGCAGAAUUCAGUGAAUCAUCGAAUCUUUGAACGCAUAUUGCGCUCUCUGGUAUUCCGGAGAGCAUGCUUGUUUGAGUAUCAGUAAACACCUCAACUCCCUUUCUUCUUGAAAUGGAGCUGGACUUGAGUGAUCCCAACGCUUUAUUCAUAAAGUGGCGGGUUACUUGAAAUGCAGGUGCAGCUGGACUUUUCUCUGAGCUAUAAGAAUAUCUAUUUAGUCUGCCUCAAAACAGAUUAUUACCUUUGCUGCAGCUAACAUAAAGGAGAUUAGUUCUUGUGCUGACUGAUGCAGGAUUCACAAAGACCGCUUCGGCUGUCUUUGUAAACUCGAUCUCAAAUCAAGUAAGACUACCCGCUGAACUUAAGCAUAUCAAUAAGCGGAGGA